AAGCUCCACUUUAAAGCUACUUAAGUUGAUUCCCUCUGUUACUCUUAUUGGAAGGCAGUUCCAGACAGGUGGAGGGUGGCUAGACAGUUGUAUUGAUCUCUGAAUUCCCUGGAAAUACUAUUUAUAAAAUGUUAAGCAAUUCGUUAAGGAUUUCCAAGUGGGUGUUUCUGAUUGUUCAAUACAUAGCAAUUGUUCUGCUGAUAACAAUUCUCUUGAAAGAGCCUGAAGCAAUACCCUGAAGUAUUCACUGUAUCCAAGGACCAUAUUUCAGUUUGUUCAUUUGUUUUUCAAGAGCCUGAGCGUUCGAGAGAAGUAAAAUGCCAUGUAUGGUAGCAGUAUGUUCACUCACUCUUGUCAUACGUGCUUUCAAGACUCAUUUGACUUUGCUCAUUGACUCUGAACUGUGGUUACAACUACCACACAUAAUCACCAGGGAUCUACACUGCAGCAUCCCCAUGCAAGUCGAUUCUUACUGCUCUGCUGCAUCUUAGCUUUCAGGAUGAAAACUUAUUCAGCAUUUCUUCUGGCCUCAUAUUUGAAGGAAUGCUCUUAUGCAUACAAUUGUUUUUAGAGAAAAUGAAGAUUAAGAUUUUUACUAGGAAAAUACUAAACCUGCAUGUCAGGCUUCUGUGUGGGUACAUUUUAUGUCUCGCUUCCUUGUAGAGUACGUGUCAUCUGAUGACUUUAACUAUUCCCUUUCUACAUCAGUCUCUGACACUGCUAACACUAUGUUAUUUAGUUUACUCCUGUAAAUGAAACACUGAGCCCUUUUGAAGUGAAUGGAAAAAAAAAAAAAAAAAAAAGCCUUCCUAUUUUUAAUGUGAGUUAUUGUCUUUCAGUAAGGGUACUAAUUGGAUCUUUGUGCUACCAGCAAGUGCUGUCCUUUGAUUUGAAAAGUGAGCUUCAAAACGCAGAUGCUCUUGCUAUUAUAUUCUGCUGAAGGAUCUGAACAUUUUACUCUGAGAACAGCAUUAAAUUAAAAAACAAAAAACGAACAAACAAAAAAAACACAACUAGUAAUAUAUCCCAUUGGUCUGCUCUGAAAUCAUUUGUACAGUACAAAUUAAUAUUUGUACAGUGAAGCACUUUUGCAUUCUUGGAUGAAAGACGAUAUGUUUAAAAGCAAAGUAUUAAAAUUCAUCUCUGCAAUGAUUUUCUAAAGAAAAAACUGAGCAAUUCAGUUUAAUUAGUCAACUAAUAAAAAAAAUUAAAAAUGCUUAAUAAUCUGUAAUUUACAUUUCUCGGUGGAAACCAAUAUUAUGCCUAGAUUACAGUCAGGAUAAUAUCAUUAGUAGAAUGACUGACUCAAAUUAAUCAUGACUGAAGAUCUGAUUACUAUAAGGGAUCAUACUACUAUCACAGUCUUUAUGUACUUUCUCCUUUUAUCUUCUUAUUACAGCACCAAUUUUUUCCCUCUGUGCAGAAAGUGUACAUGAUUUUCACUUGCCAGUGUCUUAAAACUGCUGCUUUGAUAUUAUAAUGCACAUCUUGUGAAUGACGGGCCUCAAAAUAAUUCUAUUCUUACAAAGAAGAAACUGAAGACAAGGACAACUGUUUUUAAUAAUAUUAUUUACAAGGUGCUAAUGUGCAAUUUGUUGCCUGUCAAAACAGUGGGAAUUAUGUUCUCAUUCUGUGUUAAAUAUAAUUAGCUAAUACUUUCUAGAGGACAUGCAGACAGAAUAGGUAUCUCAUAUUUUAUAGCUGUGUUACUGAUUUCAUUAUUUGUCUUCAUUUUUUUUUCUCUCUCUCAGAACACAAGAUUUUAAGAUAUGUCUCCGAGAUGCUCAAAUGAAAUCUACUAUAAAGAAGUUGAGUUUUCUCUUUAAGGGAAUUAACGUUCUGUAUAAAAAAGCAUCAAGAAAGAUGUUUUAAAGGAGAUAACUGUGAAUUAGGUUGUGCAUAAUUAAUUUUUACAUAAUUU
ensembl:lncRNA